CCCUUAGAUGUUCUGGGCUGCACACGUGCUACACUGGCAGGUUCAGCGAGCUUCAUGCCCUGAUCUGAAAGGAAUGGGAAAUCUUUUCAAAACCUGCCGUGCUUGGGAUAGAUGUUUGCAAUUAUUCAUCUUCAACGAGGAUUGCCUUGUAAGCGCACGUCAUCAGCGUGCAUUGAAUACGACCCUGUAUUCUGUACACACCGCCCGUCGCUCCUACCGAUUGAAGUUUUCGGUGAGUUGACAGGAGGAUUUUUUUGAAACUGGUUCGCCAGUGGAUUUUAGAUCCAAAUGCCAACGAAUCGAUGGCUUUAGAGGAAGGAGAAGUCGCAACA
rnacentral:rRNA from 1 species